rnacentral:rRNA from 1 species
GUGAGGAAUAUUGCGCAAUGGAGGCAACUCUGACGCAGCCAUGCCGCGUGCAGGAAGAAGGCGCUACGCGUUGUAAACUGCUUUUAACCGGGAAGAAACCCCAGGACGUGUCCUGGGUUGACGGUACCGGAGGAAUAAGCACCGGCUAACUUCGUGCCAGCAGCCGCGGUAAUACGAAGGGUGCAAGCGUUAUCCGGAUUCAUUGGGUUUAAAGGGUGCGUAGGCGGAGCGUUAAGUCAGUGGUGAAAUCCUGCAGCUUAACUGUAGGAGUGCCAUUGAUACUGGCGCUCUUGAGUGCGCUUGAAGUGGGCGGAAUGUGCCGUGUAGCGGUGAAAUGCUGAGAUAUGGCACAGAACACCAAUUGCGAAGGCAGCUCACUAAGGCGAUACUGACGCUGAGGCACGAAAGCGUGGGGAUCGAACAGGAUUAGAAACCCCGGUAGUCC